UGUGAUCUGGAGAAAACACGAGACGAGACAUGGACAGGUCCGCCUUGUUUCCUAUGAGGAUGAUCACCUGUCGUGAGAGACGCGGACGGGAGGAAUGAGAGGACGAAUGGACGUCAAGUCAACCAAAGCUGCGAUAAGCGGGACGUCGCCGAUGAUGUCGUGCUACUUUCCAUUGUGGCAAGAGGAAGAGGAGCGAGACUGACGGAACUCAUGACAUCCAGACAUCCUGAAACUACUUUGUGACUCAUUUGAAGUCAGCAGAAUUCC